UGUCCAUUGGUGCAAUAAUUCUAUUCAUAAAGAGAAAAAGACAGGAAAGCAUGUGGCUUUAUUUGCAUUUCCAAAAAAUCUGGAACAUCGUAUGGGUGAAAGCAUUGAAAAAUGUGGCCAUAAAAACAAAUAGCAUUGUAUGUCAAGAACAUUUUAAUGAAACCUGUAUGUACAAAACUGGAUUGUCAUCAUUACGCUUGUACGAAGGAUCUGUACCAUCUAUAUUUCCACAUGUUUCUAAUUUAAGCAUAACAGAAAGUAUACACUGUAACGAAAACAAUAAUGCAUCUUCUGAAGUAUUGAUGGAAGAUGAAUCAACAAUUGGUUCUCAUCAAGGACAAACACAAGAUGAUAUGACAUAUUCAACAAAAACCAAUACUGUGGCGUCAAGUGAUAAAUGUUUAAUAAGAUAUCCAGGAGAUAUUACAACCGAACAAGUGGCAAACAUGUCGUCAAGUAGUUUAAGGAAGUUUAAUUAUUAAAUUAUUAAAAAAGAUUACUUGCGAAACAUGUCUUUAUCUUUUUAACGAAUGUACAGUUAUGAAGUCUACAUUCAUAGAAUGAAAAAGCUGUGGAUAUUUACAUUAUCCACGAGAAGAUACAUAUAAACUCAUUGUUGCCGCUGAUAAAGUUUUUAAUUUUUAUAAAUUACAGAAUAAUUUGUAUAAGAAAAAUGCAUGCCAAGAAAUAAUUAUAAAAACAAUACGUAAUAUUGAUAUGGAUAAGAAUGUUAUAUACAGAUUCUUAUGAAUUAUGAAGGGAAAUUAAUGAGCCAAAAUAUUGAGUACAUCAGACAUCAGUUUACAAAAAUUAUUUUAUUCAAAGGAAUGAAAAGUGCGAUGAUAGUUCUAAUAAUGGCCGUGUUUGGUACUGGCGGCGCUGCAGAUGUUCAUAGAUGCCCAAAGUCAUUGCUAGCAGUCCAUAGUUAUAUAGUCAAGGAGUGACCCUCGAAUAGGAGUCCGGUCAAUCUUUAGUUUUAAAGCAAAAUGGCGUCGAUAGUUAUAGAUGACUUUGCUGUCACGACGUAAAGCUAAGAGACCAUAACCUAUAUUUAGUUCUUAUUAAUCGUGUUUAGUUUAUAUUUAUUUAUUAUAAUAUAAAAUGACUGGUUGCUGUGUUCCGGAAUGCAAAAACAGCAGCAAGAAAGGUUUUUCACUAAGACGAUUUUCAUGUAACCCGGACUGAAAGGCAUUAUAGAUAACAAAAAUGAAUAGAAAAAAUUGGGAAUCUACGCCCAACUCACACAUUUGUGAAUACUUCAUAUAGGUUAAUUUUUCUGAGGAUAUGUGGAAGAAACCUCGAAUUGAUGAAAAAAGAAAAUUAAAAUCUCAUGCAAUACCAACCAUGUUUCUCAAUGUCUAACCAAUAGAAGAAAACAAGAAAUCUGCUCAUACAAGUAAUCAUCUCGAAGAUAUUACAACUGUAUUGGAUACACCAAUUGAAGCUUCAACAAUA
rnacentral:lncRNA from 1 species